AUGCAUACAAUGUCAUGUCAAUGCUUAAACAGUCUUUGUAGCUAGUGUGUCUUUUAUCCAACUCUAUGGUCUCUCACUACUUCAAAGUUGUGUCAACCACAGACCUAAAACCUCACAGUCAGUGUCUGUUUCCUUAGACUGCCAGAAAGUUCAUCACAAGACCUCUCUCCCCUUCACUCUACUGCAGGGUGGGAGAUGCAACAAUGGCCUUGAGAACAGCAGGAAGUGUGUUGGUGGUCUUUCUCUGGUCUGUAGCAGUGGUACUGGGUCAGAAUGGCUGGAGUGUGAGCUACACCAAGAAUAGUAUCUGUACCUUGAAGGGGUCAACAGUGGAGCUGUCCUGCUCCUACACAUAUCCCAGAGGUUAUACAGUCACGACAACCAAAUGGUAUAAAUGGAAGAAUUUGAUCUGGACUGAAAUCCAAGAUAAAUAUGAGGAUCGUAUAGAGUACCGUGGGAACAAGGAGAAUGACUGCACCCUGAGAAUCACAGACCUGAGA